CUGAGAAUGGUGAUUAGUUUUCCAUAUGUUGGGGGCUGUAAGCUUGACAGCGUUCUUUCCAUGAUGAAGAACUAAGAUUAAAAGGCCGUGGAGAGAGAGAGAGAGAGAGA